AUUGAACGCUGGCGGCAGGCCUAAAACAUGCAAGUCGAACGAGUGGCGGACGGGUGGGUAAUGUCUGGGAAACUGCCCGAUGGAGGGGGAUGAAUACUGGAAAAGGUAGCUAAUACCGCAUACCAUCGGAUGGGACCAGAUGGGAUUAGCUUGUAGGUGAGGUAACGGCUCACCUAGGCCACGAUCCCUAGCUGUUCUGUGAGGAUGACCCGCCAUCGUGUGACUUAGACACGGUCGAGUCUCCGACGGGCGGCAGCAUUGGGUAAUAUUGCACAAUGGGCGCAAUCCUGAUGCAGCCAUGCCGCGUGUAUGAAUAAGGCCUUCGGGGUGUAAAGUUCUUUGUGCGGGGAGGCGUUACCCGACGAAAAAGCCCCGGCUAACUCCUUGCCAGCAGCUGCGGUAAUUC
rnacentral:rRNA from 1 species